rnacentral:lncRNA from 1 species
GGCGGCACUCACCGAGGGGAUUAGGGGUGUGGUGUGAGCGAGGCGGCGGCACUCACCGAGGGGAUUAGGGGUGUGAGCGAGGCGGCGGCACUCACCGAGGGGAUUAGGGGUGUGGUGUGAGUGAGGCGGCGGCACUCACCGAGGGGAUUAGGGGUGUGGUAUGAGCGAGGCGGCGGCACUCACCGAGGGGAUUAGGGGUGUGGUAGGAGUGAGGCGGCGGCACUCACCGAGGGGAUUAGGGGUGUGGUGUGAGCGAGGCGGCGGCACUCACCGAGGGGAUUAGGGGUGUGGUGUGAGCGAGGCGGCGGCACUCACCGAGGGGAUUAGGGGUGUGGUGUGAGCGAGGCGGCCGCACUCACCGAGGGGAUUAGGGGUGUGGUGUGAGUGAGGCGGCGGCACUCACCGAGGGGAUUAGGGGUGUGGUGUGAGCGAGGCGGCGGCACUCACCGAGGGGAUUAGGGGUGUGGUGUGAGCGAGGCGGCGGCACUCACCGAGGGGAUUAGGGGUGUGGUGUGAGCGAGGCGGCGGCACUCACCGAGGGGAUUAGGGGUGUGGUAGGAGUGAGGCGGCGGCACUCACCGAGGGGAUUAGGGGUGUGGUAGGAGUGAGGCGGCGGCACUCACCGAGGGGAUUAGGGGUGUGGUGUGAGUGAGGCGGCGGCACUCACCGAGGGGAUUAGGGGUGUGGUAGGAGUGAGGCGGCGGCACUCACCGAGGGGAUUAGGGGUGUGGUAGGAGUGAGGCGGCGGCACUCACCGAGGGGAUUAGGGGUGUGGUGUGAGCGAGGCGGCGGCA